UUGAGACACAGGUUUCCAUAUGAUCACCGAAGUUAAGCAACAUCGAGCCUGGUCAGUAUCUAGAUGAGUGACUCUUUGGAAAUAGCAGGUGUUGUAGG